AUACGAAGGUCCCGAGCGUUAUUCGGAAUCACUGGGCGUAAAGAGUAUGUAGGCGGUUUGGUAAGUCAGGUGUGAAAUCCCGGAGCUCAACUUCGGAACUGCAUCCGAUACUGCCAGACUAGAGUAAUGGAGAGGCAGGUGGAAUUCUCGGUGUAGCAGUGAAAUGCGUGGACAUCGAGAGGAAGACCAAUGGCGAAGGCAGCCUGCUGGACAUUUACUGACGCUGAGGUACGAAGGCUAGGGGAGCGAAAGGGAUUAGAAACCCCAGUAGUCC
rnacentral:rRNA from 1 species